GGCGUCGUCCAGGCAGCCGCUGCCUGCGCUGGCAACAGGGCAGGGGGAGGAAAGUCCGGGCUUCACAGGGCAGGAUGCUGGUUAACGACCAGGCGUUAUAAGCCGCAAGGCAAAGGCGACGGAAAGUGCAACAGAGAAUAGACCGCCGAUGGCGUCGCAAGACGCACAGGCAAGGGUGAAACGGCAGGGUAAGCGCCUACCGCAGGACUGGCGACAGGACUGGCACGGCAAACCCCAUCCGAAGCAAGACCAAAUAGGGAAGCGUAAGGCGUUGCCCGCGCCGCUUCCGGGUAGGUCGCUUGAGCCAUGCAGUAAUGCAUGGCCUAGAGGAAUGGCUGCCAGAGGGGAAACCCUCGCACAGAACCCGGCUUAUCGGACGGCGCCCACU
rnacentral:RNase_P_RNA from 1 species